rnacentral:lncRNA from 15 species
GCAGCUGAUCCGAUCCGGGUUUUCCCAGCAGCCCCCGCGGUGGCUCUCCAGCCUCGUAGUAAACAAGAAGACCACGUGGGGAGGAGCUGGAAGCUGAUUGGUGGAGCUCAGCCGUGCAGGAACACACCCCACAGAGGUCUGUUGUUUACUGAGUUUCUGCACCCAGACACACUGAGGGAGGACUCCACUGUAUAUUACUACUGUAUAUUACUACUGUAUAUUACUACUGUAUAUUACUGUUUAUUACUACUGUAUAUUACUACUGUUUAUUAUUACUGUAUAUUACUGUAUAUUACUGCUGUAUAUUACUGUAUAUUACUACUGUAUAUUACUACUGUAUAUUACUACUGUUUAUUACUACUGUAUAUUACUACUGUUUAUUAUUACUGUAUAUUACUACUGUAUAUUACUACUGUAUAUUACUGUAUAUUACUGUAUAUUACUGCUGUAUAUUAUUACUGUAUAUUACUGUAUAUUACUGUUUAUUAUUACUGUAUAUUACUGUAUAUUACUACUGUAUAUUACUACUGUUUAUUACUACUGUUUAUUACUGUAUAUUACUACUGUUUAUUACUACUGUAUAUUACUACUGUAUAUUAUUACUGUUUAUUACUGUAUAUUACUGCUGUAUAUUACUGUAUAUUACUACUGUAUAUUACUACUGUUUAUUACUACUGUAUAUUAUUACUGUUUAUUACUACUGUUUAUUACUGUUUAUUACUACUGUAUAUUACUACUGUUUAUUACUACUGUAUAUUACAACUGUAUAUUAUUACUGUUUAUUACUGUUUAUUACUACUGUAUAUUACUACUGUUUAUUACUACUGUUUAUUACUACUGUAUAUUACUACUGUUUAUUACUACUGUUUAUUAUUACUGUUUAUUACUACUGUAUAUUACUACUGUUUAUUACUACUGUUUAUUAUUACUGUUUAUUACUACUGUAUAUUACUACUGUAUAUUACUGUUUAUUACUGUAUAUUACUACUGUAUAUUACUACUGUAUAUUAUUACUGUUUAUUACUGUAUAUUACUGUAUAUUACUACUGUAUAUUACUACUGUAUAUUACUACUGUAUAUUAUUACUGUUUAUUACUGUAUAUUACUGUAUAUUACUACUGUAUAUUACUACUGUAUAUUACUGUUCAUUACUGUAUAUUACUGUAUAUUACUACUGUAUAUUACUACUGUAUAUUACUGUAUAUUACUACUGUAUAUUACUACUGUAUAUUACUGUUUAUUACUACUGUUUAUUACUACUGUAUAUUACUGUAUAUUACUGUUUAUUACUACUGUAUAUUACUACUCUACUGUAUAUUAUAA